GCAAGUUGAGCGGUAAGGCCCCUUCGGGGGUACACGAGCAGCGAACGGGUGAGNANCGCGUGGGUAAUCUACCUCGAGGUGGGGGAUAGCCCCGGGUAAACCGGGGGUAAUACCGCAUGAGUCCUCGAUGACAUAAGUCGACAAGGGGAAAGGCGGGGAUCCUUCGGGACCUGUCGCCUUGGGAUGAGCCCGCGUCCGAUUAGCUUGUUGGUGGGGUAAUGGCCUACCAAGGCAACGAUCGGUAGCCGGCCUGAGAGGGUGAACGGCCACAUUGGGACUGAGACACGGCCCAGACUCCUACGGGAGGCAGCAGUGGGGAAUUUUGGGCAAUGGGGGAAACCCUGACCCAGCGACGCCGCGUGGAGGAUGACGGCCUUCGGGUUGUAAACUCCUGUCAGGUGGGAAGAAGAGCUUAUCGGUUAAUACCCGAUAGGAAUUGACGGUACCACCAAAGGAAGCCCCGGCUAACUCCGUGCCAGCAGCCGCGGUAAUACGGAGGG
rnacentral:rRNA from 1 species